CACUAUCGUUAACUGAAUACAUAGGUUAACGAGGCGAACCGGGGGAACUGAAACAUCUAAGUACCCCGAGGAAAAGAAAUCAACCGAGAUUCCCCCAGUAGCGGCGAGCGAACGGGGAGCAGCCCAGAGUCUGAAUCAGCUUGUGUGUUAGUGGAACGGUCUGGAAAGUCCGACGGUACAGGGUGAUAGUCCCGUACACCAAAAUGCACAGGUUGUGAACUCGAAGAGUAGGGCGGGACACGUGGUAUCCUGUCUGAAUAUGGGGGGACCAUCCUCCAAGGCUAAAUACUCCUGACUGACCGAUAGUGAACCAGUACCGUGAGGGAAAGGCGAAAAGAACCCCGGCGAGGGGAGUGAAAAAGAACCUGAAACCGUGUACGUACAAGCAGUGGGAGCACCUUCGGGUGUGACUGCGUACCUUUUGUAUAAUGGGUCAGCGACUUAUAUUCUGUAGCAAGGUUAACCGUAUAGGGGAGCCGCAGGGAAACCGAGUCUUAACUGGGCGUUAAGUUGCAGGGUAUAGACCCGAAACCCGGUGAUCUAGCCAUGGGCAGGUUGAAGGUUGGGUAACACUAACUGGAGGACCGAACCGACUAAUGUUGAAAAAUUAGCGGAUGACUUGUGGCUGGGGGUGAAAGGCCAAUCAAACCGGGAGAUAGCUGGUUCUCCCCGAAAGCUAUUUAGGUAGCGCCUCGUGAACUCAUCUUCGGGGGUAGAGCACUGUUUCGGCUAGGGGGUCAUCCCGACUUACCAACCCGAUGCAAACUACGAAUACCGAAGAAUGUUAUCACGGGAGACACACGGCGGGUGCUAACGUCCGUCGUGAAGAGGGAAACAACCCAGACCGCCAGCUAAGGUCCCAAAGUCAUGGUUAAGUGGGAAACGAUGUGGGAAGGCACAGACAGCCAGGAUGUUGGCUUAGAAGCAGCCAUCAUUUAAAGAAAGCGUAAUAGCUCACUGGUCGAGUCGGCCUGCGCGGAAGAUGUAACGGGGCUAAACCAUGCACCGAAGCUGCGGCAGCGACACUAUGUGUUGUUGGGUAGGGGAGCGUUCUGUAAGCCUGCGAAGGUGUGCUGUGAGGCAUGCUGGAGGUAUCAGAAGUGCGAAUGCUGACAUAAGUAACGAUAAAGCGGGUGAAAAGCCCGCUCGCCGGAAGACCAAGGGUUCCUGUCCAACGUUAAUCGGGGCAGGGUGAGUCGACCCCUAAGGCGAGGCCGAAAGGCGUAGUCGAUGGGAAACAGGUUAAUAUUCCUGUACUUGGUGUUACUGCGAAGGGGGGACGGAGAAGGCUAUGUUAGCCGGGCGACGGUUGUCCCGGUUUAAGCAUGUAGGCUGAUUGUCCAGGCAAAUCCGGAUAAUCAAGGCUGAGGUGUGAUGACGAGGCACUACGGUGCUGAAGUAACAAAUGCCCUGCUUCCAGGAAAAGCCUCUAAGCAUCAGGUAACAUUAAAUCGUACCCCAAACCGACACAGGUGGUCAGGUAGAGAAUACCAAGGCGCUUGAGAGAACUCGGGUGAAGGAACUAGGCAAAAUGGUGCCGUAACUUCGGGAGAAGGCACGCUGGUGUGUAGGUGAAGUCCCUGCGGAUGGAGCUGAGACCAGUCGAAGAUACCAGCUGGCUGCAACUGUUUAUUAAAAACACAGCACUGUGCAAACACGAAAGUGGACGUAUACGGUGUGACGCCUGCCCGGUGCCGGAAGGUUAAUUGAUGGGGUUAUCCGUAAGGAGAAGCUCUUGAUCGAAGCCCCGGUAAACGGCGGCCGUAACUAUAACGGUCCUAAGGUAGCGAAAUUCCUUGUCGGGUAAGUUCCGACCUGCACGAAUGGCGUAAUGAUGGCCAGGCUGUCUCCACCCGAGACUCAGUGAAAUUGAACUCGCUGUGAAGAUGCAGUGUACCCGCGGCAAGACGGAAAGACCCCGUGAACCUUUACUAUAGCUUGACACUGAACAUUGAGCCUUGAUGUGUAGGAUAGGUGGGAGGCUUUGAAGCGUGGACGCCAGUCUGCGUGGAGCCAACCUUGAAAUACCACCCUUUAAUGUUUGAUGUUCUAACGUUGGCCCCUGACCGGGGUUGCGGACAGUGUCUGGUGGGUAGUUUGACUGGGGCGGUCUCCUCCCAAAGCGUAACGGAGGAGCACGAAGGUUAGCUAAUCCUGGUCGGACAUCAGGAGGUUAGUGCAAUGGCAUAAGCUAGCUUGACUGCGAGCGUGACGGCGCGAGCAGGUGCGAAAGCAGGUCAUAGUGAUCCGGUGGUUCUGAAUGGAAGGGCCAUCGCUCAACGGAUAAAAGGUACUCCGGGGAUAACAGGCUGAUACCGCCCAAGAGUUCAUAUCGACGGCGGUGUUUGGCACCUCGAUGUCGGCUCAUCACAUCCUGGGGCUGAAGUAGGUCCCAAGGGUAUGGCUGUUCGCCAUUUAAAGUGGUACGCGAGCUGGGUUUAGAACGUCGUGAGACAGUUCGGUCCCUAUCUGCCGUGGGCGCUGGAGAAUUGAGGGGGGCUGCUCCUAGUACGAGAGGACCGGAGUGGACGCAUCACUGGUGUUCGGGUUGUCAUGCCAAUGGCACUGCCCGGUAGCUAAAUGCGGAAGAGAUAAGUGCUGAAAGCAUCUAAGCACGAAACUUGCCCCGAGAUGAGUUCUCCCUGAGACUUUAAGUCUCCUGAAGGAACGUUGAAGACGACGACGUUGAUAGGCCGGGUGUGUAAGCGCAGCGAUGCGUUGAGCUAACCGGUACUAAUGAACCGUGAGGCUUAACCUU
rnacentral:rRNA from 1 species